AUCUAUAACCGAGAAGCGAAUACGAGCCACAUAAGUGGCAGAAGUUCCUCUAUAAAGCUGCCAAGAAAUAAUCUCUAAACGUUAACUCUAUAUCGGUCCGUACCGCAAACCGACUCAGGUAGACGAGGAGAGUAUCCUAAGGUGCUCGAGAUAACUCUGGUUAAGGAACUCGGCAAAAUAGCCCCGUAACUUCGGAAGAAGGGGUGCCAUUGAAGGUGAAAGGACUCGCUCUUCGAGCUUUCGAUGGUCGCAGUGAAGAGGCCCAAGCGACUGUUUAUCAAAAACACAGGUCUAUGCAAAGUAGUAAUACCACGUAUAUGGACUGACACCUGCCCGGUGCCGGAAGGUUAAAUGGAUGGCUUAGCUCGUAUCGUUUCGAUAUUGGCGAAGGUCAGAAAUGAAGCCCCGGUAAACGGCGGCAAUAACUAUAAUUGUCCUAAGGUAGCGAAAUUCCUUGUCGGGUAAGUUCCGACCUGCACGAAUGGUGUAACGACUUGGGCGCUGUCUCAACCAGGGACUCGGUGAAAUUGCAGUGGCGGUGAAGAUGCCGCCUACCCGCGAAAGGACGGAAAGACCCCGUGAACCUUUACUGCAUUUUGAUAUUGUAUUUUGGUGUUGUUUGUGUAGGAUAGGUGGGAGGCUUUGAAGCUUCGACGCUAGUCGAGGUGGAGCCAACGUUGAAAUACCACCCUAAUAAUAUUGGAAUACUAACUCGUGCCUUUAUGAGGUAUGAGGACAGUGUCUGAAGGGCAGUUUGACUGGGGCGGUCGCCUCCUAAAAUGUAACGGAGGCGUACAAAGGUUCCCUCAGCGUGAUUGGUAACCACGCGUAGAGUGUAAAGGCAUAAGGGAGCUUAACUGCAAGACCGACGGGUCAAGCAGAUGCGAAAGCAGGUCUUAGUGAUCCUAUCCCACCGCAUGGAAGGGGGAUAGCUCAACGGAUAAAAGGUACUCCGGGGAUAACAGGCUGAUAGCGCCCGAGCGUCCAUAGCGACGGCGCUGUUUGGCACCUCGAUGUCGGCUCAUCACAUCCUGGGGCUGAAGAAGGUCCCAAGGGUAUGGCUGUUCGCCAUUUAAAGUGGUACGCGAGCUGGGUUCAGAACGUCGUGAGACAGUUCGGUCCCUAUCCUUCGUGGGCGUGAGAUGUUUGAGGAGAUCCGCAUUUAGUACGAGAGGACCAAUGUGGACAGACCUCUGGUGUAACGGUUGUGACGCCAGUUGCAUUGCCGUAUAGCUAUGUCUGGAAUGGAUAACUGCUGAAAGCAUAUAAGCGGGAAGCCAACUCCAAGAUUAGACAUCUUUUAGACUCCUUGUAGACGACAAGGUUGAUAGGUUACAGGUGUAAGUACAGCAAUGUAUUUAGCCGAGUAAUACUAAUUAGUCGAAGCCUUACUU
rnacentral:rRNA from 1 species